rnacentral:lncRNA from 10 species
ACUGCUUAGCAACCUGCUCGGGACCCCUCUCUGUGACUGUGAGCUGUUCUGUUCUUUUGCCUAUUAAACUCCUGCUCCAAACUCACUCGAUGUGUGUGUGCAUGUCCUUGACCUCAAUAUCUGGUCGUGUGACCAAGAACCUCAGUAUUCACCCCAGACAACAAGGCUGCUUCAUUUUGAGGGCUCGUCUGGGAUUUGAAGGUGACUUCAUCAGAAUGGACUGUUGUCCUCUAAGGAAAGUCUCUGGCUGACAAACAAUUGCCUCCUCAAAUACCAAGCUUUGCUGCUAAAGGGAUCUGCAGUCCAGCUGAAAACCUGCCCUUGCCUGAGCCCAGCCACUUUCUCCCAGAGAAAACUGGAGAACCUAAACAUGAUUGUGAACAGGCGCAGUAAGAUUGAGGAGCUAAAAACAGACUUGGGUGGAUGUCUGCAGCUGCAAGAAGAUGUGUGGGAACAGACACAGAAACUCUCCCUCCCAGAUAAGCAAGACAAAGAAACACAGAAUAAGAGUCCAUCUAUGUGGUCAGAGAAUGGGAUAAGAGCUGAUUUAAAAAAACUCUGCUCUAUAUAGAAGGCACACCUGGUCCCAACCAAACCACUGGACCCUAGGAGGAUAAGACCUCCUCUGCUCAUGAGCCCCCUCCUCAGUAGCCCAUUUAUAAAAACCCUGACAAUUUUACUACCACUUGGCAACCCGCUCGGGACCCCUCUCUGUGAUGGAGAGCUGUUCUUUUCUUUUGCCUAUUAAACUCCUGCUCCAAACUCACUGUGUGUGUGUCUGUCUGCAACCUCAAUCUCCUUGGCCAUGACACCAAAAACCUUAGUAUUUACCCCAGACAACAAGGCUGCUUCACCAGCCUUCUCACAUUAAAUUCCACACAUUGCAUGUCGGUGCUGUCACAGCUGUGUCUAUCACCACAGCAACAAGCAGACGGACUC